rnacentral:tRNA from 1 species
GGUCCCCGGCCUAGGACACCGCCCUUUCACGGCGGUAACAGGGGUUCGAAUCCCCUAGGGGACGCCA